rnacentral:rRNA from 1 species
UACGUAGGGGGCAAGCGUUGUCCGGAUUUAUUGGGCGUAAAGAGCGUGUAGGCGGCCUGGAAGGUCAGCUGUGAAAACUCGAGGCUCAACCUCGAGACGUCGGUUGAAACCACCUGGCUAGAGUCCGGAAGAGGAGUGUGGAAUUCCCGGUGUAGCGGUGGAAUGCGCAGAUAUCAGGAAGAACACCCGUGGCUAAGGCGGCUCUCUAGUACGGUACUGACGCUGAGACGCGAAAGCGUGGGGAGCGAACAGG